rnacentral:rRNA from 1 species
AUACGUAGGUGACAAGCGUUGUCCGGAUUUAUUGGGCGUAAAGCGAGCGCAGGCGGUUUAUUAAGUCUGAUGUGAAAGCCCUUGGCUCAACCAAGGAAGUGCAUCGGAAACUGGAGAACUUGAGUGCAGAAGAGGACAGUGGAACUCCAUGUGUAGCGGUGAAGUGCGUAGAUAUAUGGAAGAACACCAGUGGCGAAGGCGGCUGUCUGGUCUGUAACUGACGCUGAGGCUCGAAAGCAUGGGUAGCGAACAGGAUUAGAUACCCUGGUAGUCCAUACCGUAAACAAUGAAUGCUAAGUGUUGGAGGGUUUCCGCCCUUCAGUGCUGCAGCUAACGCAUUAAGCAUUCCGCCUGGGGAGUACGACCGCAAGGUUGAA